GACGAACGCUGGCGGCGUGCUUAACACAUGCAAGUCGAACGGUGAUGCUCCAGCUUGCUGGCGUGGAUCAGUGGCGAACGGGUGAGUAACACGUGAGCAACCUGCCCCAGACUCUGGAAUAAGCGCUGGAAACGGCGUCUAAUACUGGAUACGAAACUGGCCCGCAUGGGCAUGGUUUGGAAAGUUUUUCGGGUUGGGAUGGGCUCGCGGCCUAUCAGCUUGUUGGUGAGGUAAUGGCUCACCAAGGCGACGACGGGUAGCCGGCCGGAGAGGGCGACCGGCCACACUGGGCCUGAGACACGGCCCAGACUCCUACGGGAGGCAGCAGUGGGGAAUAUUGCACAAUGGGCGAAAGCCUGAUGCAGCGACGCCGCGUGAGGGAUGACGGCCUUCGGGUUGUAAACCUCUUUCAGCAGGGAAGAAGCGAAAGUGACGGUACCUGCAGAAGAAGCACCGGCUAACUACGUG
rnacentral:rRNA from 1 species